rnacentral:lncRNA from 1 species
UUAGUGUCAAAGGCAAACAGUGAUUAAGUGGUCGUCAGUGGAAUUGUGAGUGAAGGAGUCUCUAGAGCGACCUGCCCCGAAACAGAGAUGUCAAGAAAUUACCCACAACCCAGACCGGAAGAAAGCGAAAGUUCCGAGUCUGGAGAUGGCAAUGAAAGCAACGUUUACCCAGGCCGGGUCAUCUAGCAAGGGAGCUGGUCGUGGAGUGCGACAGAGACCUCUCCACCCAGAAGCCCUUUACGUGUCCCCCAGUGCCUCCCUUCUUCCCUCCUCUUUACUGAAACUGAAGCCAAUGUGUUCGCAGUUACCAUUUUCACCCGUGCCACUCCUUUUGGGGGUCUGGCUUGAGCAUCCAUGGGCAGCCACAGGGACCUUCCCAGCCAGCACAGGCAAAACAGCCGAGCCCCCAGUGUGCUGCCCUGCUGCUGCCCCUCAGCCCAGAAGCCUGGGCUCCCAGUGCUGAGGCCCUCUGUUCAGGCCUCAGCCCACCCUGAGUCGAGUGGAGCCAUGCAUUCAGUAAACUGACUUUAUUCUCCC